CCCCCCCCCAGAUUCCACACAACCCCCUCUCCACCCCCAGACUCACUUUCCACCCCACAGAAGCCCCACUAACCCCUUUCUCCCUCUCUUCAGCUCCCCUUGUCCCCCCUUGGAAUCGUGCUGAGGGAUCUGGAGACGUCCUAGAGAGGUCUGGGGGCAUCCAGGGGGUUCUGGACUCAUGCAGAAGAGUCUGGAGAUGUCCAAGGAGGAUCCAGGGAGUCCCCAGGUAGGUCCUGUGGGCCCCUGGAAGGGUCUGGCAGCUCCCACGAUGGGCCCAGGAGCUCUGAGGAGUCUCUGGGCUGAUCUGGAGAUGUCCCAGUAGAGUCUGUGAGGGUCCAGGGAGUCCUCGUGUGGGUCUGAGUGGUCAUCCAGAAGGGUCUGGGGAUGUCCCAGAAAGGACUGGGAGGGUCUGGGGGGUCCUUAGUUGGGUUCAGAGGGUCCUGUUGUCCUCUGGAAGGGUCUGAAGAUGUCCCGGAAGUGUCUUGGGUUGCCCAGGGGGUGCUCAUGUGGGUCUGGGGGAUCCUGGAGCCAUCCAGAAGGGUCUAAAGAUGUCCCAGAGAGGACUUGGAGGGUCUGGGCGGUGCUUAGGUGGGUUAAGAGGGUCCUGUUGUCUUCUGGAAGGGUCUGAAGAUGUCCCAGGAGUGUCUUGGGAUGUCCAAGGGGUGCUCAUGUGGGUCUGGGGUGUCCUGAAGAUGUCUGAGGAGUGUCUUGGGAUGUCCAAGGGGUGCUCAUGUGGGUCUGGGGAGUCCUGGAGCCAUCCAGAAGGGUCUGGGGAUGUCCCAGAGAGGACUUGGAGGGUCUGGGCGGUCCUUAGGUGGGUUCAGAGGGUCCUGUUGUCUUCUGGAAGGGUCUGAAGAUGUCCCAGAUGUGUCCUGGGUGUCCAAGGGGUGCUGUCACUGAGCCUCCCACUGUCCUUUGUCACCCCUCCAGGCCUGCCUGCAGCCGGACCCGGUGACACCGGAGCCCUGUGGCGCUGUAACCAUCCUCUGUCCCGAGGACGGGAGGUGAACUCUGUGCCACCAGCAGAGGGGACCACGGGUGACAUCAGUGUGGAACAGCCGUGACGUGGCGGCGUUGUCAUUGGGUGUCACCGUCACGCAGAGGGGACAAAAGGACCCCCCUGGGGGCAUUGCGUCGAAGUUGGGGACACCGUGAGCAGCUUGAGGACUUCCCAGGGGAAGUGGGGGCACCGCGUCACCGUGUCACACCCCAAAGUUGGGGACACCCCCACAGUGUCACAGCCCAAAGUUGGGGUCUGUCCCAGAGGUGGGAGUGCCCCCACAUCCCCACCAUGGCGUCACAUCCCAAAGUUGGGGACCCCCCUCUGGGGACCCAUUCUGUGCGUCCCCCAUUGCAGACCGCACUGAUCCCAUGGGGUGGGGGCGGGGGGCACCCUUUAUUUUUGGGAUUAAGGUUUAUUUCGUGAUAAAGGGGGGUUGGGGAAUGCCCCCCCCCCCCAAGUGAAUAAAGGGCGGAGGAGCGGCUGUGGGGCUCCGUGUGUCACACCAGGGGGUGCUUUGGGGACACUGCAGCAUCCCAGCCCCAUAGCCCCCAUGGCCCUAUAACCACUACAGCCCCAUCUCAUAGCCAUCCCAUAUCCAUAUCCCAUCCCAUAUCCCAUCCUGUAUCCAUAACACUUCCAAUAUCCAAACCAUCAUAUCCGUCCCACACCCAUAGCCCAAAUCCAUCCCAUAUCUGUAUCCCAAAUCCAUCCCGUAUCCAUAUCCCAAAUCCAUCCCGUAUCCAUAGCCCAUCCCAUGUCCAAAUCCCCGUAUCCCAUCCCAUAUCUCAUCCCCUAUCCAUAUCCCAUCCCAACUCCAUGCCAAAUCUCUUUCUAUAUCCACAUCACCUUAUCCAUCCCAUAACCAUCCCAAAUCCAUCUCAAAUCCAUAUCUCAUCCCAGACCGAUCCCAUCUCCUUAUCCAUCCCGUAUCAAUGUCCCAUCCCUUAUCCAAUCCCAUACCCCAUCCUAAAGCCAUCCCACAUCCAUACCCCCACAUCCCAUAUCCUAUCCCCAUCCUGUACCCCAUGUCCCAUCUCCAUUUCCAUCCCACAGCCUUCCCGAAUCCAUAUCCCCGCAUCCAUCCCGUGUCCACCCCAUAUCCAUUCCGUAUACUUAUCCCAUCCUAUGAUCAUCCCAAUCCCAUCCCAUAUCCAUAUCCCAUCCCAACUCCACCCCAUAUCGUUCCCAUACCUGCCAAGUCUGUCCCGUACCCGUAUACCCACUUCCCGCAUCCCAUUCCCAAUCCCUAUCCCAAUCCCAACCCCAAUCCCAAUCCCAAUCCCACACCUCAUUCCCAAUCCCACAUGCCAAUCCCGUAUCCCGCAUCCCAAUCCGUAUCCCGAAUCCCAAUUCCAAUCCCACAUCCCAGCCGCAUGUACCGUGUGUCAAUCCAUCGCAAUCCCAAAUCUCAUAUCCCAGUCCUAACCCCAAUCCCAUACCCCAAUCCCAAUCCCAAUCGCAUCCCCUAUUGCAAUAGGGCACACUCCGGGCCCCUCCCGCAGCUCCGUCCCGCCCCCAUCUUCUCAUUGGCUGAGGUGCAGCUCCGUCCCGGCCCCGGACUCUCAUUGGCUGAGCCGCAGUUCCAUCCUGCCUCCAGCCUCUCAUUGGUCAGGUGCAGCUCCGUCCCGCCGCCGGCCUCUCAUUGGCUGACGCGCAGCCCAGUCCCGCCCCCAUCCUCUCAUUGCUCAGCGGCAGCGCCGCCGGCUCCC
ensembl:lncRNA